rnacentral:misc_RNA from 1 species
GAUGAAGAACGUAGCGAAAUGCGAUAAGUAAUGUGAAUUGCAGAAUUCAGUGAAUCAUCGAAUCUUUGAACGCACAUUGCGCCCGUCAGUAUUCUGGCGGGCAUGCCUGUUCGAGCGUCAUUACGCCCCUCAAGUCACCUGUGGACUUGGUGUUGGGGAUCGGCGAGGCUGGUUUUCCAGCACAGCCGUCCCUUAAAUUAAUUGGCGGUCUCGCCGUGGCCCUCCUCUGCGCAGUAGUAAAACACUCGCAACAGGAGCCCGGCGCGGUCCACUGCCGUAAAACCCCCCAACUUUUUAUAGUUGACCUCGAAUCAGGUAGGACUACCCGCUGAACUUAAGCAUAUCAAUAAGCGGAGGA